rnacentral:misc_RNA from 1 species
GAUGAAGAACGUAGCAAAAUGCGAUAAGUAAUGUGAAUUGCAGAAUUCAGUGAAUCAUCGAAUCUUUGAACGCACAUUGCGCCCGCUGGAAUUCCGGCGGGCAUGCCUGUUCGAGCGUCAUUUCAACCCUCAAGCCCCCGGGUUUGGUGUUGGGGAUCGGCUCUGCCCUCUGGGCGGUGCCGCCCCCGAAAUACAUUGGCGGUCUCGCUGCAGCCUCCAUUGCGUAGUAGCUAACACCUCGCAACUGGAACGCGGCGCGGCCAUGCCGUAAAACCCCAACUUCUGAAUGUUGACCUCGGAUCAGGUAGGAAUACCCGCUGAACUUAAGCAUAUCAAUAAGCGGAGGA